CAGUGUAAGUGGUUGUGAGAGUGAUGGUUUAUUGGUUUUGCGAUUUCAGGAAUGUGCGCAAUUUAUAAUCCUCUCGUUUCUCUAAUAUCAUUUUUUAAUUAGGGACACAUUUUUCUUAGCUGGUAAGGUGGUGUCAGGGAUUUGAAAAUGUGCUAUUCUGUCGUGUGUGGUCGUCUUCUUGAUUUGUUCAGUACUUUUUUCAAUUGGAGAAUAAAUUUUCUUAGCAUGUAAGGAUUUUGGUGCUGGUUUUCCGCGUAGAAGGAGGAUGAGAACGGUGGAACUGCAUGACGAUGGGCUAGGGUUGUGCAAUGGCGGUGAAGCCAACUAGUCUCCAUUGAUUGAAUGCCACGUCGUUGGUUUGGAGCCCAUGUUACUUUUGGAGGAACCAAAGGACUAUGAAAUUAAG
rnacentral:lncRNA from 1 species